UACGAAGGGUGCAAGCGUUACUCGGAAUUACUGGGCGUAAAGCGCACGUAGGCGGCUUUGUAAGUCAGGGGUGAAAGCCCAGAGCUCAACUCUGGAAUUGCCUUUGAGACUGAGUGGCUUGAGUACGGGAGAGGUGAGUGGAAUUCCCAGUGUAGAGGUGAAAUUCGUAGAUAUUGGGAAGAACACCGGUGGCGAAGGCGGCUCACUGGCCCGUAACUGACGCUCAUGCACGACAGCGUGGGGAUCAAACAGG
rnacentral:rRNA from 1 species